rnacentral:rRNA from 1 species
AACGCUGGCGGCAGGCUUACACAUGCAAGUCGAGCGGUAACAUUUCUAGCUUGCUAGAAGAUGACGAGCGGCGGACGGGUGAGUAACGCGUAGGAAUCUGCCUAGUAGUGGGGGACAACAUGUGGAAACGCAUGCUAAUACCGCAUACGCCCUACGGGGGAAAGGAGGGGAUCUUCGGACCUUUCGCUAUUAGAUGAGCCUGCGUGAGAUUAGCUAGUUGGUGGGGUAAAGGCCUACCAAGGCGACGAUCUCUAGCUGGUCUGAGAGGAUGAUCAGCCACACUGGGACUGAGACACGGCCCAGACUCCUACGGGAGGCAGCAGUGGGGAAUAUUGGACAAUGGGCGCAAGCCUGAUCCAGCCAUGCCGCGUGUGUGAAGAAGGCCUUAGGGUUGUAAAGCACUUUCAGGAGUGAGGAAGGGUGUACGGUUAAUACCCGUAUAUUUUGACGUUAACUCCAGAAGAAGCACCGGCUAACUCUGUGCCAGCAGCCGCGGUAAUACAGAGGGUGCGAGCGUUAAUCGGAAUUACUGGGCGUAAAGCGCGCGUUGGCGGUU